UGCCAGCCGCCGCGGUAAUACGUAGGGGGCAAGCGUUAUCCGGAUUUACUGGGCGUAAAGGGUGCGUAGGCGGUUAUACAAGUUGAUGGUGAAAGGCUACGGCUCAACCGUAGUAAGCCGUCAAAACUGCAUGACUUGAGUACAGGAGAGGAGAGUGGAAUUCCUAGUGUAGCGGUGAAAUGCGUAGAUAUUAGGAGGAACACCAGUGGCGAAGGCGACUCUCUGGACUGUUACUGACGCUGAGGCACGAAAGCGUGGGGAGCGAACAGGAUUAGAUA
rnacentral:rRNA from 1 species